UACGUAGGGUGCAAGCGUUGUCCGGAAUUAUUGGGCGUAAAGAGCUUGUAGGCGGUUUGUCGCGUCUGCUGUGAAAUUUUCGGGGCUCAACCCCGAACUUGCAGUGGGUACGGGCAGACUAGAGUGUGGUAGGGGAGACUGGAAUUCCUGGUGUAGCGGUGAAAUGCGCAGAUAUCAGGAGGAACACCGAUGGCGAAGGCAGGUCUCUGGGCCAUAACUGACGCUGAGAAGCGAAAGCAUGGGGAGCGAACAGG
rnacentral:rRNA from 1 species